UACAGAGGUCUCGAGCGUUGUUCGGAUUCAUUGGGCGUAAAGGGUGCGUAGGUGGCGCUGUAAGUCGGGUGUGAAAUCCUGAGGCUUAACCUCGGAACUGCAUUCGAUACUGCGGCGCUUGAGGACUGGAGAGGAGACUGGAAUUCAUGGUGUAGCAGUGAAAUGCGUAGAUAUCAGGAGGAACACCGAUGGCGAAGGCAGGUCUCUGGGCUGACACUGACGCUCAUGCACGAAAGCGUGGGGAGCAAACAGG
rnacentral:rRNA from 1 species